GCACGUAUUUUGGACAAGAUUUUUCUUAUUUUAGAUUUCAUUUUGACAAAAAUGCUGUAGAUAGGUUGACGGGACUGAUAAUGAAAGGUUACGCCAAUGUUCUGCGCAAACAGUUGCUGCUUUUUGGUGCGCACACACCCCAGGCACUCCAUCUCGUCAACGCCUAAGAAGUUGGUGAAAGUGCCUCCUGCCAGACUUGCUGGAUGGCUACUACCUGCACUUGCUAGCUGAAAUGAAGCUCUUCCAACUAGCUGGCAUGGCUCUCGGCAGCUUGGCUUACGCAUGGGACGCUGCAGACGCAAUCAUCGCCAGCCUCACACAUGUCGAAAAUCAGGCAGACUACAUCGGCUGCUCACUGAUAUGGGCCAAAGAAGGCUCGUUGCUGGCGGUGGUUCUGGAGACAACGGUUCGAUCCAUCUGUAGGACGUCGCUCGGCAAGAAGUUGUGGAGUGUGAUGGUCAUCCACGCGGCGCGCGUAUCCAGUCACGUUGUCCAGAAACGAUCACAUUAUCUCCAGGUCACUCCGUGACUUGCCGGCGCUCGAGCUGACGGUGUCGCCCGAACGAAGGCUUCACGGCGACAAGUGCUGCCACCGCCUGAGACCAUCCGACUCCGAAAAGCUGAUUGCCGGGCACGAACAAGAGGCUACAGGCAUUUGGGUGCAACACCUGCUCCGAGUGCCCUGUUCUGAGGCGUCAUCCGAAGAAGGCCGCAUAGUGCACUUAAGGCUGUGUUCGGGUGUAGUGCACUGCACUGUCGGAUAGGAUCAAAUGGCAGGCCCGUCAUAAGAUCUCAGUACGAAAUUAAGAUAGUCAGAGCCGACGUGAUCGGUGGAUGGUGUGCCAGGGUUGAUUGAGCGUCCAUGAGCGUGAGACACCUGGAUCUGUGACGGAUACGCCGAUACGUGUCCCGGAUUCGACCCCCCUCCCCCUCCGUCUCAACGGUGUUGGCUGAGAUUGGGGUAUUUUUACGGACUCGCCAAUGUCCUGCAAUUUCUGUUAUGUAAUUUGACGAUCAUGCCGUGGUCUCAUUCUGUCUCGAUAUGCUAAUAAAUGAUAAAUGUAACA
rnacentral:lncRNA from 1 species